rnacentral:rRNA from 1 species
GAAUUCGCCCUUAGAGUUUGAUCCUGGCUCAGGACGAACGCUGGCGGCGCGCCUAACACAUGCAAGUCGAACGGAGCUUAGAGAGCUUGCUUUUUAAGCUUAGUGGCGAACGGGUGAGUAACGCGUGAGUAACCUGCCCUAGAGUGGGGGACAACAGUUGGAAACGACUGCUAAUACCGCAUAAGCCCACGGUGCCGCAUGACACUGAGGGAAAAGGAUUUAUUCGCUUUAGGAUGGACUCGCGUCCCAUUAGCUAGUUGGUGAGGGAACGGCCCACCAAGGCGACGAUUGGAAGCCGGACUGAGAGGGUGAACGGCCCCAUUGGGACUGAUACCCGGCCCAGACUUCUACCGGAGGGCAACAGUGGGGGUAUUGGCCCAAUGGGGGAAACCGUGAUGCAGGGAGGCCGCGAAAAAGAAGAAGGUUUUCGGAUUGUAAACUCCUGUCGUUAGGGACGAUAAUGACGGUACCUAACAAGAAAGCACCGGCUAACUACGUGCCAGCAGCCGCGGUAAAACGUAGGGUGCAAGCGUUGUCCGGAAUUACUGGGUGUAAAGGGAGCGCAGGCGGGAAGACAAGUUGGAAGUGAAAACCAUGGGCUCAACCUAUGAAUUGCUUUCAAAACUGUUUUUCUUGAGUAGUGCAGAGGUAGAUGGAAUUCCCGGUGUAGCGGUGGAAUGCGUAGAUAUCGGGAGGAACACCAGUGGCGAAGGCGGUCUACUGGGCACCAACUGACGCUGAGGCUCGAAAGCAUGGGUAGCAAACAGGAUUAGAUACCCUGGUAGUCCAUGCCGUAAACG